GGGUGGGGUCUACUGGCUGUGCUGUGAGCAGUUUCCUUAUGAGACACCUGUAAGUACUACAGAUGAUGUUAAGAGCCCAAGCUACAAUGGAGCAUGUCUGACUCACCUCACUGAAAUACUGGUAGACAAACUGCUUGUGCUGUAAGAUGUUGGAUGAAGCAAAUGUAUGAAGAAAACCAUUCCCCAGAGACACUGAAGAUCUUAAUAAUGUGAGAGGGCUACAGACGGCUUAAUAAGUUACUCAUGUUUACUGUCAGAUGUUGAUGCUCUUAUUUAGCCACGGAAAUAAAUCAAACUGCAAGCUGUCCCACUG